rnacentral:lncRNA from 1 species
CAAACUAAUCCAUGCCACCAGGAAAUCUUAUACAGGAUGGCACCUAAGGCACUUUGCUGAGAAGAAUUCUGAGUUCCUGUUUGAUGUCAACAGAAAGAAAUGCUAUAAUCAAUGUGUAGUGACAGCCAUACUAGUGACAAUAAGACCAGGCUCAAGACCAGGGAAGAGGGCAAAAAAGAAGCAGAGAGACCAUUUAAGAUACUAUAAUUCAAGUGAGAAAAGCUGGGGGAAUAGACCAAGGCCCAUGGAUCAAGAUGAGGACACUAGAAAGAGCAAGAAGAUGUCUGUUUUGAAAAUUAGCCCGAUAAGAUUUGUCAAUGGCUCAGCUUUCAAAUAAAGAUUUGAAUUAAGCCUUGGUAUGAAAAAAUAAACUGUUG